UACGAAGGGGGCGAGCGUUGUUCGGAAUCACUGGGCGUAAAGGGCGCGUAGGCGGCCCUCUUAGUCGCGUGUGAAAGCCCCGGGCUCAACCUGGGAACGGCGCGCGAAACGGGAGGGCUGGAGUUCGGGAGAGGAGAGUGGAAUUCCCAGUGUAGAGGUGAAAUUCGUAGAUAUCCGGAGGAACACCGGUGGCGAAGGCGGCUUCCUGGACCGACACUGACGCUGAGGCGCGAAGGUCAGGGGAGCAAACGGG
rnacentral:rRNA from 1 species